UACGAAGGGGGGCUAGCGUUGCUCGGAAUUACUGGGCGUAAAGCGCACGUAGGCGGGUCGUUUAAGUCGGGGGUGAAAUCCUGGAGCUCAACUCCAGAACUGCCUUCGAAACUGACGAUCUUGAGUUCGGGAGAGGUGAGUGGAACUGCGAGUGUAGAGGUGAAAUUCGUAGAUAUUCGCAAGAACACCAGUGGCGAAGGCGGCUCACUGGCCCGAUACUGACGCUGAGGUGCGAAAGCGUGGGGAGCAAACAGG
rnacentral:rRNA from 1 species